rnacentral:misc_RNA from 1 species
GAUGAAGAACGCAGCGAAAUGCGAUAAGUAAUGUGAAUUGCAGAAUUCAGUGAAUCAUCGAGUCUUUGAACGCACAUUGCGCCCCCUGGUAUUCCGGGGGGCAUGCCUGUCCGAGCGUCAUUGCUGCCCUCAAGCACGGCUUGUGUGUUGGGCCCCCGCCCCCCGGCUUCGGGGGGCGGGCCCGAAAGGCAGCGGCGGCACCGCGUCCGGUCCUCGAGCGUAUGGGGCUUCGUCACCCGCUCAUGGAGGCCCGGCCGGCCCCGGCCAACCCCCAAUCGAGGACUCGUUCCUCCACCAAGGUUGACCUCGGAUCAGGUAGGGAUACCCGCUGAACUUAAGCAUAUCAAUAAGCGGAGGA